rnacentral:rRNA from 1 species
UGGGGAAUUUUGGACAAUGGGCGCAAGCCUGAUCCAGCAAUGCCGCGUGCAGGAUGAAGGCCUUCGGGUUGUAAACCGCUUUUGUCAGGGAAGAAACGAGUUUCUCUAAUACAGAGACUUAAUGACGGUACCUGAAGAAUAAGCACCGGCUAACUACGUGCCAGCAGCCGCGGUAAUACGUAGGGUGCGAGCGUUAAUCGGGAUUACUGGGCGUAAAGCGUGCGCAGGCGGUUAUAUAAGACAGAUGUGAAAUCCCCGGGCUCAACCUGGGAACUGCAUUUGUGACUGUAUAGCUAGAGUACGGCAGAGGGGGAUGGAAUUACGCGUGUAGCAGUGAAAUGCGUAGAUAUGCGGAGGAACACCAAUGGCGAAGGCAAUCCCCUGGGCCUGUACUGACGCUCAUGCACGAAAGCGUGGGGAGCAAACA